rnacentral:rRNA from 1 species
UACCAGCACCCCGAGUGGUCGGGACGAUUAUUGGGCCUAAAGCAUCCGUAGCCGGUUUUACAAGUCCUCCGUUAAAUCCAGCUGCUUAACAGAUGGGCUGCGGAGGAUACUAUAAGACUAGGAGGCAGGAGAGGCAAGCGGUACUCAGUGGGUAGGGGUAAAAUCCGUUGAUCCAUUGAAGACCACCUGUGGCGAAGGCGGCUUGCCAGAAUGCGCUCGACGGUGAGGGAUGAAAGCUGGGGGAGCAAACCGG